UGGGGAAUUUUGGACAAUGGGGGAAACCCUGAUCCAGCCAUCCCGCGUGUGCGAUGAAGGCCUUCGGGUUGUAAAGCACUUUUGGCAGGAAAGAAACGUCAUGGGUUAAUACCCCGUGAAACUGACGGUACCUGCAGAAUAAGCACCGGCUAACUACGUGCCAGCAGCCGCGGUAAUACGUAGGGUGCAAGCGUUAAUCGGAAUUACUGGGCGUAAAGCGUGCGCAGGCGGUUCGGAAAGAAAGAUGUGAAAUCCCAGAGCUCAACUUUGGAACUGCAUUUUUAACUACCGGGCUAGAGUGUGUCAGAGGGAGGUGGAAUUCCGCGUGUAGCAGUGAAAUGCGUAGAUAUGCGAAGGAACACCGAUGGCGAAGGCAGCCUCCUGGGAUAACACUGACGCUAAUGCACGAAAGCGUGGGGAGCAAACAGG
rnacentral:rRNA from 1 species